rnacentral:tRNA from 1 species
GCCCAGGUGGCGAAAUCGGUAGACGCAAGGGACUUAAAAUCCCUCGGCUUUGGCCAUGCCGGUUCGAGUCCGGCCCUGGGCACCA